GACGAACGCUGGCGGCGUGCUUAACACAUGCAUGUCGAACGAUGAGGCUGGAGCUUGCUCCGGUGGAUUAGUGGCGAACGGGUGAGUAACACGUGAGCAAUCUGCCCUUCACUCUGGGAUAACUGCGGGAAACUGUAGCUAAUACCGGAUACGAGGCUUGGAGGCAUCUCCAGGUCUCGAAAGAAUUUCGGUGGAGGAUGAGCGCGCGGCCUAUCAGCUUGUUGGUGAGGUAAUGGCUCAACAAGGCGACGACGGGGAGCCGGCCUGAGAGGGGGACCGGGCACACUGGGACUGGGACACGGCCCAGACUCAUACGGGAGGCAGCAGUGGGGAAUAUUGCGCAAUGGGCGAAAGCCUGAUGCAGCAACGCCGCGUGAGGGAUGAAGGCCUUCGGGUUGUAAACCUCUUUUAGCAGGGAAGAAGCGAAAGUGACGGUACCUGCAGAAAAAGCACCGGCUAACUACGUGCCAGCCGCCGCAGUAA
rnacentral:rRNA from 1 species